rnacentral:rRNA from 1 species
UGGGGAAUAUUGCACAAUGGGCGCAAGCCUGAUGCAGCCAUGCCGCGUGUAUGAAGAAGGCCUUCGGGUUGUAAAGUACUUUCAGCGGGGAGGAAGGGAGUAAAGUUAAUACCUUUGCUCAUUGACGUUACCCGCAGAAGAAGCACCGGCUAACUCCGUGCCAGCAGCCGCGGUAAUACGGAGGGUGCAAGCAUUAAUCGGAAUUACUGGGCAUAAAGCGCACGCAGGCGGUUUGUUAAGUCAGAUGUGAAAUCCCCGGGCUCAACCUGGGAACUGCAUCUGAUACUGGCAAGCUUGAGUCUCGUAGAGGGGGGUAGAAUUCCAGGUGUAGCGGUGAAAUGCGUAGAGAUCUGGAGGAAUACCGGUGGCGAAGGCGGCCCCCUGGACGAAGACUGACGCUCAGGUGCGAAAGCGUGGGGAGCAAACAGG